rnacentral:rRNA from 1 species
CCUACGGGGGGCAGCAGUGGGGAAUAUUGGACAAUGGGGGGAACCCUGAUCCAGCCAUGCCGCGUGUGUGAAGAAGGCCCUCGGGUUGUAAAGCACUUUCAGUGAGGAAGAACGCCUGGUGGUUAAUACCCAUCAGGAAAGACAUCACUCACAGAAGAAGCACCGGCUAACUCCGUGCCAGCAGCCGCGGUAAUACGGAGGGUGCGAGCGUUAAUCGGAAUUACUGGGCGUAAAGCGCGCGUAGGUGGCUUGAUAAGCCGGUUGUGAAAGCCCCGGGCUCAACCUGGGAACGGCAUCCGGAACUGUCAAGCUAGAGUGCAGGAGAGGAAGGUAGAAUUCCCGGUGUAGCGGUGAAAUGCGUAGAGAUCGGGAGGAAUACCAGUGGCGAAGGCGGCCUUCUGGACUGACACUGACACUGAGGUGCGAAAGCGUGGGUAGCAAACAGGAUUAGAUACCCUGGAAGUC